rnacentral:tRNA from 1 species
GACGAGGUGGCCGAGUGGUUAAGGCGAUGGACUGCUAAUCCAUUGUGUCGGACAACGCGUGGGGUUCGAAUCCCAUCCUCGUCG